UUAUAGGAAAAGAAACCACUCUUAGUUUAUGCCAAACUCAUUCAACAAUUCAUUUACUGAGAAGAUGCAUCCUUUCCCAGUAAAGACAUAAAAAAACUAGCAAAAAACGAAGGAAUAAGGGUGCUUAAACGCCAUAAAGAUGGAAGAAGUUUAACAAUGAUAGAUUUAGCAGCCCAACCAGUGAGGAAGACGAUGAUGAACACGACAGUAUUAAAAACAAAGGCUUCUUUGUAUGUGAAUAGAUAAGUUCCAGCAGUCACUUGAUAGCGAUAGUAUUGAAGCCUUAACCAACUCAUAGGUUCGGGUUCAAACACACAGUCAUAAUCCUUUUUAGCCUUAAUAACA